UACGUAGGGUGCAAGCGUUCAUCGGAAUUACUGGGCGUAAAGCGUGCGCAGGCGGUUAUGUAAGUCAGAGGUGAAAUCCCCGGGCUCAACCUGGGAACUGCAUUUGUGACUGCAUAGCUAGAGUACGGUAGAGGGGGAUGGAAUUCCGCGUGUAGCAGUGAAAUGCGUAGAUAUGCGGAGGAACACCGAUGGCGAAGGCAAUCCCCUGGACCUGUACUGACGCUCAUGCACGAAAGCGUGGGGAGCAAACAGG
rnacentral:rRNA from 1 species